AGUUUCUAGGUUUUUACUGUAUGAGUAGUCUAUCAAAUUAAGUAAUCUACGUGUAUUUGUUGAUGAGCGCCUACCCUUUAUGAAACCAGUUUGGUCAGGAUGAAUUAAGAGGGGGGUUAUUUUCUCCAGUCUCUUUGAGAGAGCUUUGCAGAUUAUUUUAAGGUCUACAUUUAUAAGGGAUAUUGGACGAUAGCUUGAGGGAUAUACAGGGUCUUUGCCUGGUUUUAGCAGGAGAUUAAUGUUUGCAGAAUUCAUAUUUGAUGGAAGUCUGCCCUUUUCUUUAAUUUCCAACAACGUUCUGUAGAAAACUGGUGCUAGAAUCGACCAGAAUUCUUUGUAGAAUUCUGCAGGAAAGCCGUCUGGACCUGGAGCCUUAUUAUUGUGCAUACUUAUCAGGGCUUCCUGGAGUUCACCUGGUGUCAGUGGUGAAUCCAGUGCCAUUGCUUGAGUGUCUAAUAAUUUUGGAAGAGUUAUGUUGUCCAAAAACUGAUCAAUUUCUUUUUUAGAUGGGUUUAUUUGUGGUGAAUACAACGUUUUAUAGAAAUCCCUGAAAAUGUUGUUUAUUUGUAUCGGUUCAUAUAUUGUGUUCCCAGAUGGAUCUUGAACAGCACAUAUAGUUGUUUUUUCUUUAUUUAUUUUUAGCUGGUUUGCUAGAAAUUGACCGGAUUUAUUACCAUGUUCAUAAUUUUGUAGGCGUAGUCUUUGUACUAAGAAUUUUGUUUUUUUUUUUAUCAAUUAUCUCAUUUAAUUCUAGUUUUGUUUUGCGUAUUUUGUUCAAUGUUUCCUGAUCUUGGUGGGACGCGUAGGCUUCUUCUAGUGAUUUGAUGUUUUUUUCUAAUUCCUGAAUAUUUUUGUUUUCUUUUUUCUUUUUAUGUGAUGAGAAAGAAAUUAUUUUACCUCUCAUCACAGCUUUCCCUGCUUCCCAUAGAACAGAAGCAGAUAUUCCGGGAGUGUCAUUAUAGUCCAAAUAUGAAGUCCACUCUUUUUUAAAAUAUUUAAUAAAGUCUUCAUCUUUAAGUAGUGAUAUAUUAAAUCUCCAGUUUUUUCUUGGCGUAGUAUUAUUCUUGUGCAUUAGUGUUAAAGAUACAGGACCAUGAUCGCUGACAGCUAUAGGGUGAAUCUCAGUGUCUGAAAUGUCGUUCAGCAGUGAGCUGCUGACCAAAAAAUUAUCCAGACGAGAGUAGGAGUGAUGGACAUGUGAGAAAAAAGUAUAUUCCUUACUGGUGGGGUGAAGGGAGCGCCAUGCAUCGCAAAGACCAAAGUCGCUCAUAUACUGUUUGAUUAUAUUUGUGGACUGCCAAUUACGCUGAGUUCCUGCUGUAUUGAGCCUAUCCAUGUCUUCAUUUAGUCCAAGGUUGAGGUCACCUCCAAGAACAAGUGUGCCAUCUAAGUGUUCAGAGAGUGCACUGAAAAAACCGUGAAAGAAUGAGGGAUCAUCAACAUUUGGACCAUAUACACUUGCAAUACAUAGCUUUUUAUCAAGUAUAGAUAGUUUAAUGAUUAAGAAUCUGCCCUCUGGAUCUAUAACUGUAUCGAGUACUGUGAAAUUAAUAUUUUUAUGUAUUAAAAUUGCUGCUCCCCUUUGUCUAGAAUUAUAACAAGCUGAGAACACAUUAGGAAACUCAGGUGUUUUAAGUUCA
ensembl:lncRNA